GUCUAAGGCCAUACCACCCUGAACACGCCCGAUCUCGUCUGAUCUCGGAAGCUAAGCAGGGUCAGGCCUGGUUAGUACUUGGAUGGGAGACCGCCUGGGAGCACCAGGUCCUGUAGGCU
ensembl:rRNA 5S_rRNA 5S ribosomal RNA